rnacentral:rRNA from 1 species
AGAAUCAACGCUGGCGGCGUGCCUAACACAUGCAAGUCGCACGAGAAAGGGUAGCAAUACCUGAGUAAAGUGGCGCACGGGUGAGUAACACGUGAAUUAUCUACCUCCGAGUGGGGAAUAACUGAGAGAAAUCUUAGCUAAUACCGCAUAACACUUACGAGUCAAAGCAGCAAUGCGCUUGGAGAGGAGUUCGCGGCAGAUUAGUUGGUUGGCGGGGUAAUGGCCCACCAAGACGAUGAUCUGUA